rnacentral:rRNA from 1 species
UACGUAGGGGGCAAGCGUUGUCCGGAAUCAUUGGGCGUAAAGAGCGUGUAGGCGGUCCGGUCAGUCGGUUGUGAAAGUCAAGGGCUCAACCCUUGAAUGCCGGCCGAUACUGCCGGGCUAGAGUCCGGAAGAGGUGAGUGGAAUUCCUGGUGUAGCGGUGAAAUGCGCAGAUAUCAGGAGGAACACCGGUGGCGAAGGCGGGUCUCUAGGCCGACACUGACGCUGAGGAGCGAAAGCGAGGGGAGCGAACAGG